UCCUAGAAGGGACAACAGUGCACAUGCUGGU
rnacentral:piRNA from 1 species